ensembl:lncRNA
CAACAGGAACGUAAUAAGAAAGGCGGUAUAUCUGCAUCACAUUGUUGAGAGCUGAUUAUGCAUUAUGUGAAGUGUACCUAAAUACAGCACUCUGCUUCCUUGUCUCUGAAGAUGGAAGACACUACAGAGUGACAACAUGUCCUCAGCCCUUCCCUGUUUUAAAAAAGGGAACAGCUGUUGACAACUGAUCUAAUUCUAGCCAUGUGUGAGUUUGUGAGGCUACAGUACUGAGAUGAGAACAUAGUCUAUUCUAGAACACAGAGGCUAUGCCACUCCAAACCAGCAGUCCAUUCUAGAGCACAGAGGCUAUGACAUCCACCAAGCCAACAGUCCAUUCUAGAACACAGAGGCUAUGACACUCCAAACCAGCAGUCCAUUCUAGAGCACAGAGGCUAUGACAUUCCAAACCAACAGUCCAUUCUAGAACACAGAGGCUAUGAAAUUCCAAACCAACAGUCCAUUCUAGAACACAGAGGCUAUGACAUUCCAAACCAACAGUCCAUUCUAGAGCACAGAGGCUAUGACAUUCCAAACCAACAGUCUAUUCUAGAACACAGAGGCUGACACUACAAACCAACAGUCUAUUCUAGAACACAGAGGCUAUGACACUCCAAACCAACAGUCCAUUCUAGAACACAAACCAA